rnacentral:lncRNA from 1 species
UUCUCUCAUAAGACGCUUAUAGCUCCCACUAGCUUGCUAAGAUCCAUGAUGGAUGGAUCUAUACAACUUAUAUGUCUUGUGAUUCAUAGUUUUAGACAUAUAUUAUCAAGACUAUCUUAAUAAUGGUUUCGAAAACCCAUAUUAUGUCCAAACAUUGAAUCACCAUUUAGUUGUAGCUAGCAAUCUUCGAAUUAAUUGAAACUAAGACUACGUCAAAAAUGAUUCCUUCAAAGUCAACCAUUCUCUUUGAUUGUAGUCACCUUAAGCUACCAAUUAGCUUAUGAAGGUUUCACUAUUUCGGGUCAAAUGGUACUUUACCAUUUCCUUGAGUAUAUAUCGUAUAUGCACUCAAUGUAGUCAUAAGGAUUUUCAUUCUUAUUUCUUUCGAAUUAAGAGGUGCAACUCUAUGACAUAGUCAUAAAGUUCAAACCAUUCAACUGAGAUGGUUUAUAAAUCCUUCUUGACUACCUUGGAGCUUUUGGUAUAGGAACUAGGUUGUUAUAUUUGUUGAUUAUUAUCUUGUCUCUCAAAGAACCAUUCUUUGAGUUCUAUCCCUCGUUCAUUUGCUCUUAGGCAAAUCACAUUGUAGGAUUACAAUGAACUACCCAACAAAACAACAUUUGUUAGUUGGUAUAUAGAAGCGAUAUCCAAAAGUUAAUUUAAGGAUAUCCCACAAGAUUGUUAUCAAACAAAUAUUGCUUAUUAGCACACGACCCCAAAUCUUAACAUGUUUUAAGAUUUUGUCUUUCUUUCCAACUACAUCUUAUGGAGUCAUGAAAAUAUUGGAAGAUCUUCUAAUUUACAAUCAUAUUGUUUUAGAAGUAUAUAUCCUAUAUAUGGGUAAUAGAUAAUAUCUAACGAACUAAAUCUUAUUCGAGUUCGUUCUUCUCCUAAUGGAGAAAUACAUUAUCUUAUGAUGCUUCUUUCCUUGAUAUCUUUCAAGAAAACUAUUCUAAAGUGUUACCAUUCCUUGGAUCAAAUCUAAGGAUGUAAAUACUUUAGACGCCUUACUCAUCAACUUACAUUUCUUGAAUUCUUUGAAACCUUUUGCAAAGUAUUCGGACUUGUGUUUAU